CAAGCCAAAGAACUCCAUUGCUGAUUAAAGCAGGAACAAUGAAACUCUGUGGCCCAAACCCCACCUGCUCAGAACUUUGGCACCAAGGCCUGGAGACCUGGGUCUACCGCUGGUCCUGGAGUUUCACAGACAAUAUCCAAAAGCACAUAAGUCAGCUCUUAACAGAGGAGCCAGGGAGAUGCCGAAGUUAUUUCUUCCUCCAUAAGGAGCGGUUUCGGAAAAGAUUGCCCAUGACCUGCUGCCCCUGGCACUGAUUGGGGUAUUGUCAGCCGUUUGGAUAAGAGCUGCUGCCCCUCCCAGCCACCCCUGAGUCUCUGUUCUUGCUGCCUGAUCAGCGUGAUGUUUUUAUGGGGACGGAGCUACCCUAUGGCUGAUUGAGGGGCACGAGCACCUGGUUAAUGAUAGUUUGUGGCACUUCCCAGACUGCCUCAAAGUGUCCUUGAAGGGGCUCUGUUUCCUGCUCUGUUUUCGAACCACAGAACUCAAGUAAGUGGACCCAGAGGCGCAGGACUGAAGGUGGGCCGUCCUGGCCUCCUCACUGCCUUUCCUCUCUGUGGUUUGGAAUCGGUGAGCACCCAGCGCCCCUAACUUACAGGGGCUGAGUUUCAACACUUACUGUGGAGAUCGGUGGCAACUCAGAUAAAUUCUUCUUUGGAAACAAGAUUCCCCAGUUGGAUUCAUGAUGAUCAGUUAUCUGGGUCAUCUUUCCUUGAAGAAGCUCAGUUUUUUAAUGCUGCAUCGGGGUUAUCAAUUUUGGCCCUUCAUUUACAGGGCUUAUUAUUUUGAAUGACUUAAUGGCAAUAUUUUCAAUAAGUGAAAUAUUAGCUGUGCUGUACAAUGGUCAAAAAAUAUUCGCUGAGAAUCUACUAUAUCUGAGCUCUCAGCUGGUGGCUGAUGGUUUACAAUGUUGAAUAAGAAUUUUAUAAAAGUUCUAUAAUUCAUUUAGAAGGGGAACUAUGGACCUAAAAAGGUAAGAGGAGACAUAGGAAAGCAUACGCAACAGCAAAUGAAUAGCCUUCAUGCUCAAAGAUUGGAGACACUUCCAGGCUAUGGCAUUCAGGAUUAGCUCUAUAAUCCCAAGAGUUCCUUCUUCAGAAAUCAUUAAGAAUUUCAAGAAGGUGACAGCACCACAUCCAGACCAAGCACGGGGCAUCAAACAAGAGUCCUGAGUCGGCACAGGUCAGACAUCCAUGAGGCCGACUGACCCUGAGUGCAGGAAGCAAAACUCUCUGAUAAUUCAGACUCUGAGCUGGUCUUUGGAUGAGGCAUUGGGAAAAUCAAAAGUGAGGGACUUGAGGAGCAGGAUGCAAGUGGCUGGCCCACUCAGCCCCGGCUGCUCGCGGGAAUCACUGCAAUCAGCCAGGAAACGCAAGUUAGCAGGGACAGUGAUGAUCGUGUUGAUGUUUUGCACCUUCAAGGUGCUGUGGUGGCACUUUACGUCUUUGAACUUUCAAAUCUCUAACCCCAGUUUCAUCAGGAGAAAAACAUUAGACAAAUCUAAACUGAGGAGCAUUUUGCAAAUAGCUGACCAGGACUUCUCAACUUCUAAACUGUCAAGGUCUCCCAAAGCAAAUAAAUGUCCAAGAAAUUGGCUUCUUUUAGACAAUCUAUCAUGUAGUUGGGUCUCUCUCUCUCUCUCUCUCUCUCUCUCUCUCUCUCUCUCUCUCUCUCCCUUCUUCAUUCAUUCUAGCAAUCUUUCUUUGAUGAUGUUUUUAAACAGUUCAUGUUUUCAAUGUCUAUAGCAAAACAAUUCACAAUAGCCAAGUUAUGGAACCAGCAGCCCAGAUCCUUGUCAACAGACAACUGAAAAUGUGGUCUAUGCACACCAGGGAGCUAAACUCACCCCUAAAGAGGAAUGGAAUUAGGGCAUUUGCUGACAAAUGGUUAGAACUAGAGAACAUCGUGCUCAGUGAAAUAAGCCAGACUGAGAAAGUCUAGGGUCAAAUGUUUUCUCCCAUAUGCAGAAGCUAGAGAAAAAUAAUAAGAAGCAAAAAACAGGGAGGAAUCCAAUGAAAACAGAAGGUAAAACAAGGGAGUAGGAGAGGGGGGUUGAGGGGGCCGAAGGGUAGGUGAGGAGAGCAACUGAGGAGUGAAACUGGCCAAAUUAUGAAAUGUACAUAUGUGAAUAUGCCACCGUGAACUUCAUCAUUAUGCAAAUCUAUAAGCACUAAUUAAAAAGCAAUAAAUGUAAGGCCAGAAGAGUAGAGGAAGGAGGGGAAGGAGGGGAAAGAGGAAGCACUGGGAUUGAAGUAGAGCAAAUUAUAUUUCUUGCAUGUAUGAUUAU